CCAAACUUGGUCAUUUAGAGGAAGUAAAAGUCGUAACAAGGUCUCCGUAGGUGAACCUGCGGAGGGAUCAUUAGUGAGUGGUGGCGCUCCGGCGUCCGACCUUCCAACCCUUUGAUUUGAUCAAGACCUCCUUCUGCCUCGGGGGUGACCCGGCCCUCGCGCCGCGGCCCCCCCGGUGGUCACCAAUUCCAACCCUGCAUCAAUUGUCGUCUGAGCGUUGAAGCGAAUUCAAUCAAAACUUUCAACAACGGAUCUCUUGGUUCUGGCAUCGAUGAAGAACGCAGC
rnacentral:misc_RNA from 1 species